UCUAAACAAUGGACAGGAACAGUGACAUUGGGAGACAUUGAUAAGAUGUUUGAUGACUUGGACCCUCCCUCACAUGUUAAUGAUGACCUGUUACCCCCGUCUGCUCUGCUCCAGACCUUUGAUACUGAGUCAAACCAGUGUGGGAAAGAGGCUUCACCAGUCCUAAAGGAACGACACCUAACAGAAAAACUUCCAAGAUGCCAAGUGGGUCCGAGAGUAGAUGCGUCGCAUCCUGCAAUGUCACCAA